CAGAGAGACGCCCACGUGACCUCGAUCCGGCUCGCUGUGGGACCCCGGCCGGCGGUGGCGCAGCAGGGAACGGGGGCGGCCGUCUCAGCGAAGCCGCAUCCGGUGCUACCACCGACACGCCCAAUGCGUGCCACACUGCUUCAAGAGGGAACAAAUGGAACAGCUCUAACCUACACACACUGGGGACGAAGGCCGGGUGGGAGCUGUACCACUCGUGUGAAAGGGCCGAUCAAGCGGGCAGCACGCACAGCAUUUCCGUGGGCUGUGUGCGAGUGUUGCGGCAGCCUGGCCCAGACCAACGCGGCGGGUGCAGCGGCGACGCCGUCCCCCUCCUCCCAACACUCACCGGCGACGAGCAGGAUGGGCGGCUUGUCGGGGUGAAGCUCCAUCUGCCUGGCGAUCCACUGGCCGUCGAAGUGCGCGUACCACCAGCCCUUCUUCUUGUUGUUC